rnacentral:rRNA from 1 species
GACGAACGCUGGCGGCGUGCUUAACACAUGCAAGUCGAACGGAAAGACCCUGCUUUUGUGGGGUGCUCGAGUGGCGAACGGGUGAGUAACACGUGAGUAACCUGCCCUUGACUUUGGGAUAACUUCAGGAAACUGGGGCUAAUACCGGAUAGGAGCUCCUGCUGCAUGGUGGGGGUUGGAAAGUUUCGGCGGUUGGGGAUGGACUCGCGGCUUAUCAGCUUGUUGGUGGGGGAGUGGCUUACCAAGGCUUUGACGGGUAGCCGGCCUGAGAGGGUGACCGGCCACAUUGGGACUGAGAUACGGCCCAGACUCCUACGGGAGGCAGCAGUGGGGAAUAUUGCACAAUGGGCGGAAGCCUGAUGCAGCAACGCCGCGUGCGGGAUGACGGCCUUCGGGUUGUAAACCGCUUUCGCCUGUGACGAAGCGUGAGUGACGGUAAUGGGUAAAGAAGCACCGGCUAACUACGUG